AUUUUUACCUUGAGUUAAGUUGAGAAUUAUUUUGUGGUAUUGAUAAAGGUUCAAGUUUGGGGCUGUUGGGAAAGUUGAAAAAGAAAAAGAUAAGCAUUGAGCUAAUGUGUUGAGCAAAACAUGAAAAGAUGAAAAAGAUAGAAAAGAAAAAGAAAAAAGAUAAAAUGAGAAGAAAAGCUCAAUGCAAAGAAAAGGGAAAGUUAGGAAUGAGUGAGAUUGGUUCUUUAAAGAGAGUUUGUGCUUAAAUUAUAAAUGUGAAUAAGUCUCUUAACUCAAGGAUUUUGUGAUCCAGAAAAACCAAUGUUCUUCUUAGCCCAGCCACGUUACAAGCCAUAAAAUGUCCUUGUGAUGAUAACUUGCUUGUGAGUAUGAUUGAUUGUGGUUAAAUGACAGGCAAAGUUAAUUUGUGUGACAUUGUGGUAGUGGAGAGAAUGAGUCACCUCAAUAUACACAUGUGUGCUUGAGUGAAACACUUUCCUUGGUGAGGAGUUGUUCCAAUUAUACAUGAUUGCAUCUGUGCUUGGUUAAUUGGUCAUUCAUGAUAAUAGCAUCUGUUGGAAAGACUGUGAUUAUGUGACCACCAUAUUGAGUUUAAUGGAAGUAAUG
rnacentral:lncRNA from 1 species